rnacentral:rRNA from 1 species
GUGCAGCAGCCGCGGUAAUACCGGCAGCACGAGUGAUGGCCGACAUUAUUGGGCCUAAAGCGUCCGUAGCUGGCCGGACAAGUCCGUUGGGAAAUCCUCCCGCUUAACGGGUGGGCGUCCAGCGGAAACUGUCCGGCUUGGAGCCGGACGACCUGAGGGGUACGUCCGGGGUAGGAGUGAAAUCCCGUAAUCCUGGACGGACCGCCGGUGGCGAAAGCGCCUCAGGAGGACGGACUCGACAGUAAGGGACGAAAGCCAGGGUCUCGAACCGGAUUAGAUACCCCGUAGUCC